UUGAUUUGAUUUGUUAACAUUCCCUCACUUAUUUUUUAUCAAUAUCUUUGUGUGUGCCUGUUUGUCUAUUGUUGCAUGUAAUAAGCUUACAUCCACAAUAAUUUUUUUUUUUCUGAAGGAACAUUGAGUCAACAAAUAGUAGCAUUCUAUCUUUUGAUUCCACUAUAUUUCUAGUCCACUACUUGGAUCCCUUUUGAAAUUGAAACUUGUUAAUUAACAAACUGUAAUGAUUAAGUUUACUUUAGAUAUCAUUUGGAGUAGAAAUCAUGUUGGUUUGGCUCCUUCUGAAUUAGCCCUGGCUAUAGAGAGGCAUGUGUUGGAUUGUGGUUCAAUUGAUAAUGUUGGCACUGCCGGUAUCUUGGAACUGCAUCUUGGAGCAAUCAACAACAUCCCCAACAAAUGUCACCUAGAAAUUGGUAUCAGAUACAUUAUUUACAUGGCCUGACUUGCACGCUAAAUUAAAUAGUGACUUGCUGAAUAAUUUGGGCAACUUCAUCAACCGAGUUUUGAGUUUUAUUGGCAAACCUGCAAGUUGGUCGAACUCUUUCGUCAUUUUCUCUUCAAGUGUCGACUGAUUAGCUGCUACAAAUCCUUAGAGAUUACAUUAAUUACUACUAUGACUAUAUCUUGGGACUAUUGAUUAAUAGUUGUCUUUGAAAUUUUUUGGAAUAGCUAAAGAUCUAUACCUAUUACUUUCUUCGUUAUUCUGCUAUUAUUAAAGUUAUUUCAUUUGUUGCUUCUUCUUGUUUAAUGCACACAUUACUUUGUCUUGUAAAGGUCGAGGAUAUGAUUAUGUUAUUCCCUCUAUUCCUAAUGAUGUCAGUGGCGACUCCCAUAUUCAGAGCAAAAUAUUUGCUGAUAAAUUAGUAUGUGUUACUUUAUAAAAUAUUAGGUUGUAAUUAUUCGGUAUUGUUACAGACACAAGAGACAUUGAUGAGGAAAGAAGAAAUAAAGUGGUUGACAAAAUUCAUCAAUCAGCAAUUAAAAUAACCAAAACACGAGGUGUCAAGUUCUCUCAUUUCCGUGUCAUCAAUCAGGAUCCACUAUCCCUUUCUAAUGAAGCAGUCAUGAAGGCAGUAGAGACUGCAACAAAAGAACUAAACUUGACAAGCAAGUUGAUGAUUAGUAGAGCCUAUCAUGAUUCAUUGCUUAUGGCCAGGUUGUCUCCAAUGGGCAUGAUUUUCAUUCCAUGGUACAAAGGGUACAACCAUAAGCCUAAAGAGUUUGCCACCAUUGAAGAUAUGUCAAAUGGUGUAAACGUAUCGGCGCUCACCCUAGCCAAAUUGUCCAGUCAAUAACAUCCUUUGUAAUGAGUUUAUGUGGAUUAUCAUUAUACAAAAAGGACAUGCAAUUUAUUUCUGUUACA